AAUUCUCAAACCCCCUAUUUCGUAAAUGAAAAUAGGCUCUGUGGGCUUGGAUUAUGGCUGCUUGUUGGCUCGUCACGAGUCGGCUCGGCUGAAAUACACGAGCCAAACCCCUACUGAAAUGACUGACGGCUUGACUCGGCGUAAUAACAUAUUUCGCUGAGAACGUCCACUGAACGUUUCAGAUCAUUUGGGAGGGGCUUCUAACGCAAUUAUCCAUCUUAAGC
rnacentral:misc_RNA from 1 species